UCCUUCAACAACAACACCUCGGUAGCUUUCUAGCAAACAUAGCUACAACAUUCACACUCAUUACACUGUUUUUGGUGUAUAUUAGUCGCUGUGUAUUAAACACACUUCUGUCGUAUGUACUUUUUGGCCCAUUUCAUUAUAUAUUUACAUUGUUUGUCAGCUAGCUGGUUUGCUAAGUUAACUUAGAACUAGGCUAGUCGCUAAUGAUAGCUAGCUAACAUCCCCGACCAUGAGUUCACUAAGCUUCUCUCAUGAUAAAGAAGAGGAGGUCUGCUGGAUGGAGGAAGAAGCUAUCGUCAAAGAGGAGGAGGAAGAGGAGGAUGUUACAAUACAAAAACAAGUAGAGGGUGAGGCUGUUACAGUGAAAGAAGAAGAGAAAGACGUUUCAGUGAAAGAAGAAGAAGACUCGUUCAGAGUGAAAGAGGAGGAGGAUGUUACAGUAAAAGAAGAGGAUGCAGUUUUUGUAGUGAAAGAGGAGGGGAAGAUGACUGUCACAUUGAAGGAAGAAGAGGAAGUUGAAGAUAAGUUUAACACCAGAGAGAGAAGUGACUAUCGAGGAUCCUCUGGGGAGCCUCAACAACCUCAUGAUGCUGACGAGGCAAAGAAAAGUCUCUCCAGAUCAAAACACCUCAAGAAAUACCAGCAGAGACCCACAAGGAAGAAAACUCAUCGCUGCUCUGACUGUGGGAAGAGUUUUGUUUCUUCAGGACAUUUAAAAUCACACCAGAGAACACACAUGGGAGUAAAACCUUAUAGCUGUGCUCAAUGUGGGAAGAGAUGCACUCAGUCAACAGACCUUAAAAAACAUGAGAGAAUACAUACAGGAGAGAAACCUUAUAGCUGCUCUGACUGUGGAAAGAGUUUUGUUUUUUCAGGGCAGUUAAAAUCGCACCAGAGAACACACACCGGAGAGAAACCUUAUAGCUGUGCUCAAUGUGGGAAAAGAUUCACUCAGUCAACAGACCUUAAAAAACAUGAGAGAAUACAUACAGGAGAGAAAUUUUAUAGCUGCUCUGACUGUGGACAGAGUUUUGCUUAUUCAGGACAGUUAAGAUUACACCAGAGAGCACACACGGGAGAGAAUCCUUAUAGGUGCGCUCAAUGUGGGAGGAGUUUUACUCAGUCAAGCAGCUUGAUAGUACACCAGAGAACACACACCGGAGAGAAACCUCAUAGCUGUGAUCAAUGUGGGAAGCGUUUUGUUACAUCUAGCACUCUGACUACACACCAGAGAACACACACGGGAGAGAAACCUUAUAGCUGUAAUCAAUGUGGGAAGAGUUUUUCUCAGCCAAACGGCCUGAUAGUUCACCAACGAGUACACACAGGAGAGAAACCUCAUAGCUGUGAUCAAUGUGACAAGAGAUACUCUGAUAAAAGAUCUCUGAUCAAACAUGGGAAAAUACAUACAUGAAGGAAUUGUUUCAUGAUAUCAAUGAAUUAAUGUCACAAUGUAGAAUGUAAAUUUAAAUGCAUCACUCCCAGAUGUAGCUGACUGUCUUCUGCAGGUUGUCCUCUAAUCAGUGAGGUAGAAUAUAUCUCCCAUUUCCAUAUGUUUUUUUUAAGUUGUGUUAGUUUCAACAGCACAUACAACCGGAUUUCCCCCCUAAUUGAUAUCAGUGAUUUAUUGUGACUUAUGCAGCCAACUGACAAUUUUUGUGUACAAUUAUAUUAACAUUGUUGCCCUGACUUUAGAAUAUCAGGUUCAUGUAUCAGGUUCAUUCUUAGAUGUGCCAACCCAAAUGUACAAGAGCAUGACAUUGGGGACUGGGCCCCGAUCCAACAACAUGUCUAUCGAGUGAACCCUGAAAAGAGAGAGAAGCUCUGCAGUUAGGUGGAAAGUUACUGCGGAUAUUGCAGGAGUUUCCUCUUGAAAUCAGACAUGUUCGUGGUAAGGACAACUCGAUUGCUGAUCGUCUCAAGGGUGGGCAGUCAAAAAGAUUUGUAUUUUAUGUUCCAAGGGGACAAGAGUUCUAGAAGCUAGUGAGUUUUAGGAAGACGAGAGUUCUAGAAGCUAGUGGGGAAAAAAAUAUAGUUUUUUCUUGUUUUUAAUUGUUGCCAGCCAGUAGGCACCAUGUUUAUAUUGAUGAAGCAUUGUAGUUGAUUUGUGAAAUGGAAGUUGUUUUCUGUUGGUGGUAAGCAAACUUGUCCAACAGAAAUAUAGGAUAUAUUUGUUCUCUUAAAUUGUUCUCUUUUUCCAUUUAUGUUUUGAGGUUGGACGUUAGUACGUAGGAAUGGGGGAUACAUAGUCUGUUGUACAACCGAAAUGUGUCUUCGGUGCACUGAUUGGUGUCACCUCGUUAGUCAGUAUGUGUUACACCUGUGCUGGCUUGUCCACCUCGCUAGUGGGAAGGUGUUUCACCUGAGCUGGUCCAGGUUCUAUUUAAGAGUGUCUGGCCCAGUGCUCCAGUUGUCUUGAUAGAUGUGGAGAGUCAACACCUUUAGUUGCUCCACCUUUUUGGAUAAAGAUGUUUUCAUUUCAGGUUGAAGUUUUCGUACUGAAGAGAGCCUUAUUUUGAAGAAGAAAAAAAAAUGAAUCCAAACAAGCAAACCAGGUCGGUUCCGGGGAUAGGCAUUGGUUAGGUAUGACGGGGAGGGACGAUGCUCCCCUGAGGUUGAAGUUUUCGUACUGAAGAGAGCCUCAUUUUGAAGGGAAAAAAAUGAAUCCAAACAAGCAAACCAGGUCGGUUCCGGGGACUGGUAUAGCAAAUACCGUAAGAUUUUCAUGGACUGAAAAGGAGAUGGUGCCUUGGGGCAGGGAAACUUUUGGAAGGACCAUAUUGAUGGGAUGCCUCAAGAUAGAGGUGAAGGAAGUGCUCUGCCUCCAAGGCAACCCAAAUGAAAAAGGUUUUGAUGUGACAUUUUACAAGGAAGAGAAACAUGAUGACAUAUUGAAGAUGGCAAAGGAAGCGGGAAAAAAAGGACCCCUGUGCCAUUAUGCGGUGACCAGCCUGGCAAAGAACAACUUCAGGGUGGUCACCGUAAACAUGUACAAUCCGCAUGUGAAGGAUGAAGAAGUGAGGGCCUUUCUGGGGAGAUACAUGGACAAUGUCUCCUCAGCGAGGUACCUCAGGGACUCCCUGGGUUUCUGGGACGGGAGAAUAGGUUUCCAUGCGUUACUCAGGGAGUCCCCGAAGAGUGAGGAUGGCUACCGCCAUCCUCCGGCGAUGUUCUCCCUGGGGGCUGACAGGGGAACACUCUACUAUGCACGUCAGCCCCCGUUCUGCAGGCGUUGUAUGGCCUACGGCCAUACCGUGGCCUCGUGCAGCGCCAAGAGGUGUCGAUUUUGUGGGUCGGAAGAGCACGAGGCCAGGGAAUGUGACGAGUCCAAGGCUUGCCACGGGUGUGGCUCAAGAGCACACCUGUGGCGUGAUUGCCCGGCUCGUCACAGGUCAUACGCGUCUGCAGC